rnacentral:sRNA from 1 species
AUAUUCACAUUCCCUAAGAGGACGUUCUGGACCCUCGGGCAGAGCUUUGUGAGAGAAACAAGGCUGGCUUCAAGUGAUCUGCAACCAGAGUAAUUGGGAUUUGACAAGGACUGUGAAAGGCUGACUCUCCCUGUUCUCUUUCAUGCUGGCACCGGGCAGAGUGUGGGAACUACUGCCUCAAUACGAUCAUAGAAGCCAUUGAGAUCCCGCAGUUUAUCGGCCGCAGUUACCUGACGUAUGACAACCCAGAUAUCUUGAAAAGGGUGUCAGGAUCAAGAUCAAAUGUGUUCAUGAGGUUUAAAACAACUGCCAAGGAUGGCCUUUUGCUGUGGAGGGGAGACAGCCCCAUGAGACCCAACAGCGACUUCAUUUCCUUGGGCCUUCGGGAUGGAGCCCUCGUGUUCAGGUAACGCCCUCUCCAUCUGCCUUCAGCAGCACCUUGCGAUUUUCUCAGACAUUGCAGAUCAUGCCAGAGUGAUUCAGAAGGGAGCCAGAACACAGUCUGCUGGAAUUGGCUGAAGCCUGAAGCUUCAGGGCUUAUUGGAAGCUCCUGGUCUUUCUUUCCGACAUUCAUCUUAUAGAGCAGC